rnacentral:snRNA from 1 species
AGCUUUGCGCAGUGGCAGUAUCGUAGCCAAUGAGGUUUAUCCGAGGCGCGAUUAUUGCUAAUUGCUAGUUUAGUACUUUCUAGAAUGUUUUGUAAAUUUUCUCCUAAA